rnacentral:tRNA from 1 species
GCCGAGGUGGUGGAAUUGGUAGACACGCAACCUUGAGGUGGUUGUGCCUAUAUGGUAUAGGGGUUCGAGCCCCCUUCUCGGUAC